rnacentral:rRNA from 1 species
GACGAACGCUGGCGGCGUGCUUAACACAUGCAAGUCGAACGCUGAAGCCCAGCUUGCUGGGUGGAUGAGUGGCGAACGGGUGAGUAACACGUGAGUAACCUGCCCCCUUCUUUGGGAUAACGCCCGGAAACGGGUGCUAAUACUGGAUAUUCACUGGCCUUCGCAUGGGGGUUGGUGGAAAGGUUUUUUCUGGUGGGGGAUGGGCUCGCGGCCUAUCAGCUUGUUGGUGGGGUGAUGGCCUACCAAGGCUUUGACGGGUAGCCGGCCUGAGAGGGUGACCGGUCACAUUGGGACUGAGAUACGGCCCAGACUCCUACGGGAGGCAGCAGUGGGGAAUAUUGCACAAUGGGCGAAAGCCUGAUGCAGCGACGCCGCGUGAGGGAUGACGGCCUUCGGGUUGUAAACCUCUUUCGCUCAUGGUCAAGCCGCAGCUUUGGGUUGUGGUGAGGGUAGUGGGUAAAGAAGCGCCGGCUAACUACGUGCCAGCAGCCGCGGUAAUACGUAGGGCGCGAGCGUUGUCCGGAAUUAUUGGGCGUAAAGGGGUUGUAGGCGGGUGGUCGCCGUCUGCCCUCAACUCCCCCUGGCGUAACUGUGGGGCGUGCGGUGGGGUACGGCCUGAUUUUAAUGCGGGAGGGGGAGACUGGGGCUCCUGGUGUAAGGUUAAUUCACAUAUAUCAUAAGAACCCCCGUGGCUUAGAGGUUGUAGGGGCGUUACGGGCGAGGCGCGGAAACG